rnacentral:tRNA from 1 species
GCGGGUGUAACUCAGUGGUAGAGUGUCGGCCUUCCAAGCCGUUCGUCGUGGGUUCGAGUCCCAUCGCCCGCU